AAUGGCAGGUCAGCAUACUGCCGUGAAUACGUUCCCGGGCCCUUGUACACACCGCCCGUCACACCAUGAGAGUUGGGAAUACCCGAAGCCUGUGAGCUAACGUUAAGAGGCAGCAGUCGAAGGUAGAAUCAAUGAUUGGGGUGAAGUCGUAACAAGGUACC
rnacentral:rRNA from 1 species